GAUGAAGAACGCAGCGAAAUGCGAUACGUAAUGUGAAUUGCAGAAUUCAGUGAAUCAUCGAAUCUUUGAACGCAUAUUGCGCUCUCUGGUAUUCCGGAGAGCAUGCUUGUUUGAGUAUCAGUAAACACCUCAACUUCCAUAUCUUUUUUGAAAUGGGAGUUGGACUUGAGUGAUCCCAACGCUUUUCCUCACCGAAAAGUGGCGGGUUACUUGAAAUGCAGGUGCAGCUGGACUUUUCUCUGAGCUAUAAGCAUAUCUAUUUAGUCUGCCUAAAAAACAGAUUAUUACCUUUGCUGCAGCUAACAUAAAGGAGACUAGUUCUUGUGCUGACUGAUGCAGGAUUCACAGAGACAGCUUCGGCUGACUUUGUAAACUCGAUCUCAAAUCAAGUAAGACUACCCGCUGAACUUAAGCAUAUCAAUAAGCGGAGGA
rnacentral:misc_RNA from 1 species